rnacentral:rRNA from 1 species
CGGACGGGUGAGUAACACGUGGAUAACCUACCUAUAAGACUGGGAUAACUUCGGGAAACCGGAGCUAAUACCGGAUAAUAUUUUGAACCGCAUGGUUCAAAAGUGAAAGACGGUCUUGCUGUCACUUAUAGAUGGAUCCGCGCUGCAUUAGCUAGUUUGUAAGGUAACGGCUUACCAAGGCAACGAUGCAUAGCCGACCUUAGAGGGUGAUCGGCCACACUGGAACUGAGACACGGUCCAG